UGGACUUUGAACCGAUCUGUGUAGGAUAGGUGGGAGGCUAUGAAACCGGAACGCUAGUUUCGGUGGAGCCGUCCUUGAAAUACCACCCUGGUUUGUUUGAGGUUCUAACCUUGGCCCGUGAUCCGGGUCGGGGACAGUGCAUGGUAGGCAGUUUGACUGGGGCGGUCUCCUCCCAAAGCGUAACGGAGGAGUACGAAGGUACGCUAGGU
rnacentral:rRNA from 1 species